rnacentral:lncRNA from 1 species
CCAAUAUUUAUAUUUAUAUAUAAAUGGUACAAAAUUUAUGUUAAAUGUUAUUGACUAUUUUGUACAAUUAAUUCUGGAUAAAAUUAACUGAUUUCAUAUAAUUAGUAAUAUCAAUACUGUACAGAACUUGUACAUAGAGCAAAUAACUCAUAUAAACCUCUCAGCUCAGUGGUAGCUGUUACUAUGAGGACAGUAAUUGGGUGGCGCUCCUCACCAUUUCCCUGCUCUGUGUAUCAAGUUCCCACAGGGCUCUCUCCAGUGCCUUACUCCUCCUAAUAUAUACACUAUUCCUAAGUGACUUCAUCUAAACCCAUAGCUUCAACUACCACUUACACCAGGAUCAGCAAAUACUCAGCACACGUGCUACAAAUUCUCCCUUCAACCAAUCCCCGAGUUGGGCUCUCAACUUGCUAUUCUCUAGGCUGCCACUUCUUUUUUUUUUUUUAAAGAUUUAUCUUUUUCCUUUUUCUCCCCAAAGCCCCCCGGUACAUAGUUGUGUAUUUUUUUUUUCUAGUUGUGGGUCCUUCUGGUUGUGGCAUGUGGGAUGCCACCUCAGCAUGGCUUGAUGAGCAGUGCCAUGUCCACGCCCAGGAUUCAAACCGGUGAAACCUUGGGCUGCCAAAGCAGAGCAAGCAAACUUAACCACUCAGCCAUGGGGCCAGCCCCUAGGCUGCCACUUUUAACUGAUCAGUUGGAAUUUGAAAUGAAUUUUUUUUCCAUUCUGGAUAGAUACUGAUUGCCUAUUUUGAGUCCGCUAACACUUUCUCCUGGCUAAAUUUCACAAGUAAUUCCAACGGUCUGUCAUAAAAUUCCAUGAAAUCUGCUUAAAAUUAAAAAGGAAAUGGAAAAAGAAGUUGGCAAAAUAGAGACUGGAAGAAGGGAAAUAGUUUUAUAGUCUUAAAAGAGAUCAGUGGAGGCCUUGAAACUACUUUCCUAUUUGAAAGAGAAGCCCUGAGACAAGGCCAUUGAUGAAGGCAAGACAAGGAAUCCAAAAAUCUCAUGUGUUCUGGUACAAAUCCAUCAUAAGAGUGAGAGAUUUAUUGCAUGUUGUAUAAAAACCACUAGUGAACACGGAAUAUUUCUCCCUUAGACAAACUAAUAAGUUAAUAGUUCUUUAAGUUAAUGAUUCCAAGCAUUGGUGUAGCCUAUGUUGAAAUCAUUGAGGAGCACAAAGGAACUUUCAAUUGAUUUGAUACAGUUGACUCAUUUUACAGGAGGCAGCUGGGGUUCCUAAGUGGCAGAGAUAUCACUGAAUCGGUAUCUUCCCACUCCCAAAUCUGAACACCACUCUAAAGUAAAUUUCUGCCAUUUUUGUUUGUUAUUUACACAAUUACAUAUACAUACUGUAAAGCAGAAAUAUGUGCAAUACCAACAAUUUUACACAAACACAUAUAUACCCUUUUGCAAAAUCUAGCGUAAACAUUAGAAAAGGUUGGGUAACUGUCUCUACUACCACCCCCGGCCCCCACUGAACCAAACCAGUUCUAGAUUAAGACGUCCUAUCCUGUCUGUGGUAUGAAGAAUAAUGGGCCCUCGAAGAUGCUCACCUACUAAUUCCCAGAAUCAGUGAAUAUGUUAAAUUACAUGGUAAAGGGAAAUUAAAAUGGCUAAUCAAUUGACCUAGAAAUAGAGAUUAUCCUGGAUUAUGCAAGUGGGGCCCAAUGUGUUCUCAGGGUCCUUAAAAGUGAAAGAGGGAGGCUGUAGAGUCAGUGUCAGUGACUCUGUGAUGUAAUGUGAGAAUCAACGGGUCAUUGCUGGCUUUGAAGAUGCAAGAGGGCCAAGGAAAGUGGGCAUGAAAAUGGGUUCUUCCAUAAAGACUCCAGAAGGGAACUCAGCUCUGCUGACACAUGGUUUUUAACCCAGUGAGAUGCCUUUCAGAGCUAUAAGACUGUAAAAUAAUAGGUUUGUGUUGUCGUAAGCAACUCAGUUUGUGGUAAUUUGUUACAGCAGGAAUGGGAAAACUAAGAUAGUUUCCAUAGAUUCAUUUCACAUUUCCUGCAGCCAUCAAGAGUUGGAGCCUGGUUAUAAAGUAUCUAUCAAAGAGGAAUAAAUGAAUACUGGUACUAACACAAGGCAACUAAGUAAUCUGUUCCCUCAUAAAAUAAAAACUCCUCUCAGAAUUUAUUUCAAAGGAACAUUUAUUGACCCCAUAUUAAACGGGCAUGGUCAAGAGAUGCCCCUCUUCUGUCUGUAUACAAUUCCCUCCUCUGUUUAUCCUCAGCUGCGUACAUCCUAUAUCUCAUAGUCUUUUACAAUUAUUCAAUUUCCUAUAAUGAAAUGAUAGGCUUGUCCAGAAGCUCAGAAUCUUCUUAGAAAGUUGUGGUUAGCAGAGUGAUGGGCACAGCUAACGGAAAAUCUGCUUCAUUUUCUAAAUUUAAAACAAAAAAACAGGGGUUACAAAGAGAAACAAGAGAACCUAGUGCUCAGAAGAUCAGGCCCAUCUUUUUCCUACUUCCCGCUGUGACCGUCAGCAUGAGACUCAAUUUCUUUAAGGUCUAAUUUCCAUUCUCCCUUCCUCUCCUGGUGCCUUACAUGAGAUAUUUACACACUGUCUGGGUAUCCAUUUUACUUCACAAAGAGACCAUGUUAGUGGCUUCCAAAAAAGCCAAGAGUGAGGCCAAGUAUUAGAACUGGCACCUUCUGAUUCAGGGCCCCAAGGCUUUACCGUUUUUAACUGAAUUACAUGUUCUUUGCAUCAGAAAACCUGAUGCCUUUUCUUCAGGUUCUCCCUUAAAAAGAUUCCGUGGCCUGGACUGGAAUCCACAUCUCAGAGAAAAACAGGAAGAAAAGGAAUCUUGGGAAACUCAAGGAAGAGGACUUAUUUACCCUAUGCCUAUUUGGUUACUGAAAAUCCAGACAGACUUGGAAGAUAAACCUCAGAGAGAAGAGAGGUUGUCUUUAACCUCCACCUUAGAUUUUAUAGCUGAUCUCAGCAUCUGGGAAAGCUGUUUAGAAUUCUUUCCCAGUGGAUUAAAACCAGCACUUAAGUGACCAGCCCCAUGGCAUAGUGGUUAAGUUCAGCGUGCCCUGCUUCAGCGACUCAGGUUCACAGUUCCAGAUCCUAGGUACAGACCUACAACACAUGUCAACCAUGCUGUGGCAGUGACCCACAUGCAACAUAGAGGAAGACUGGCAUGAAUGUUAGCUCAGGGCCAAUCUUUCUCCAGCAAAAAAAGAGGGAGAUUGGCAACAGAUGUCAGCUCAGGGCAAAUCUUCCUCAGAAAAAAAAAAAAAACAGCACUGGGAAAAUGAUAUCAAAUCUCUAAUAAGAUAUCAGGGGCAAGACAGAAGAAACUUACAAAAAAGCACUGAGACGGACUCGUCGUUUCCAAAUGAGGUGAUGGGCUCAUCUGCAAUUAAGUAAAGAAAUGGUUUUUAUUCACUUCCAGUAAUGUGUGUCUAGCAUUCACUGUGUGCAUUCAGCCAAUAACCUCAAGUAGCCCUGGUUAACAUAGGACUCCACUGAGUCUGUGGCACUGAAACUUUCCUUCUCCUAACUACCAUGGCACUCUGUCACGCCUGAAAUCUUCCCGGUGGAAAUGGAAUGCAAAUGGACUCCAUGAGAAGGAUUUGGGUGAAGGGCUGGUCUACGCUCAUACUUGGAAGCCCUGAGAGUAGCAUGUGAACCGGUUAUAUCCUCAUGUGUAAGAGCCAUAUUCUCUCUUCUCGCCCAAAAGUAAAUUCAGCUCAGUGAGUGUGGCUCCUGGCUGAGAAGGGUGUAAACACGGGCAGAGUACCUACCAGAGAGCCUCUUCUUGAGUCUGUUCUGGAAAGCUUCCCCAAACAUAUUCCCUAAAGACCAUAAUAGGCAGAAAAGUCAAAGAUCUUUGGACUUACCUGAUGCUACAAGGAUGGGCUCAUCGAAAUAAGCAGCAGUGACAACUUCUAGAAAUAAAGCAGUAAGUUUCUUAAUUUAAAAGGUUAAAACCUCCAUGGAUUUUUCUCUUCCUAUUAAAAACCAAAGUUUCUCAAUAUAUACAUAUUUCAAAUCAUUGUGUUGCACACCUUAAAAUUAUACAAUGUUAUAUGUCAAUUAUACCUCAAUAAAACUGGAAAAAACAAAAAUAAAAUAAAUGCAUUACAGGAAAAAAAACAAUAACAAAGUUUCUUGGUUUGUUGGUAAUCGCCGCAGUCAGAAAGCCUCUCUUGAUAAGCAGGCCAUGGGGUCUAGAUAUUAGCAGAAAUGAUCAGAGGGAUCUGGGCCAUGAGGCUGCUUCUUGCUCUUGGAGUCAAACAUGAGAGUUUUCCUACUGCUCCAUGGGAUAGGGGUGGGGGUGGGUGGGAUGGAGGACAUCAUUCAUUUACGUUAACUUAUUAAUCAACCACUACAGAUUGGCUAGUUAGAAAACAAUCCUGAGGUAGAGUUUUUCAUUUUGCAAAUGAGGUAUAUUCUUUGAGGAAGACAGUUAGUGGAACAGCAAGAAUUUAAAGCCAGAGAACCAACCCUUUUUAAUGGGCCCUCCAGCCUCCACUAAAACACAAUUUCUAGAUUCCUCCACUACUGCCUGCAAUCUCCCAAUACACUUAGAGCAGUGCUGGAAUACAGUAGAUCUCAAUAUGUACUAGCUAUUAUUUGUAGACAUAAGAAUCAAAUUGUUUAGAAAUUUGCUUUUGUAGGUAAGGUCCAAGGCUCUUUCACAUCAAAAGUCCCAGGCACACCUCAAACUGUUGGGGUUUGCUUGUAGGAGUGGAAGACAUUGAAUCUUAUGACCCCUUGGCUAAGUGGUGGACAGAAAAAUGAAAACUGAUGGAGGCUUGAGAGAGAGAGGAGCAGAGAUAGAAACACUGCUUAACUCAUGAAGCUUCUAAGUCUCUUUUUCUUCUGUUCAGUCUAAAUUCACAUAAGAUUUACACUUACCAUAAUCUUUGUUGGCAAAGCUCUCUGGCUGAACUGAAUUGUAGUCAACUGGAAAAGAAAAGGAAAUUGUUAACGUUUUUCUUGCCACCACAUCCAUCAACCCCUUGGAGAUACCAAGGAUCUCGUCCUCUUUAGAGAAGCCCAGAAGGCUGGUCCUGGAGAUCAGUCAGGGCAGAUCUCUGGGCUGGAGCUAUGCUGGUAUUCAACUGGUUUCAUCUCCUGACAAUCUGGGAAAAUGCUUCCAUUUUCCUCAAGUUUCAAAGCUCUUUUGGCCAAGUUUACUCCACCUCAGAGAACAAAGCACCAAAAGUAUCCCCAAAUGUGUAAGUUAUCAUAGGACAUUCCUCUGCAAGGAGCUAUAAACAGGGUAAGGGAGGCAGGGAGGAAUCUUGAAGACAGGGAUUCUUACCUGUGGCCUCAGUGGCUUCUUUCUCAAAGCUGAGGGUGCUUGAUUCCACAGCAGUAGACAAUUCUAGGAAAACAAAAUGGAAGACAGGUGUGGUUACAAGCUUAUGAAAGGAAUCAAGUACACUGGAGGAAAGCAGACUUUCCCUCAGAAAUGCAAAAGAUGGGAGCCCACCAACUCCUGCCCAGGCCCCCUCUGAAGCCAGAAACCUCACUUACCAAAAGCCUGUGUGUUCUUCAAAUACGCUUCAGUAGUCAAUUCUCCACCACGAAAGAACUCUACGUCAGUGGCCGACUCUAGGUCAGCGGUUAAAUCUAGUUCCUCACUUGGCUCUAGGUUAAUGACCAGCUCUCCACCAGUGAGCGGCUCUAUGACAACAGCCGGCUCUUCAGGCUCCAGGACAACCACUGGCUCUGGGUCGGCAGAUAGCACCGGGUCAUUGAUAAUGUGUAUGAAUUCUAAAGGAGACAAAAAAGAACAAGACAGCCCAAGCGCUUUCUACCAAGAAUAUUUCCGUGAUCUCCACAUCCUUCCCAUUCCCAGGGGAAAACAUGGAACAUAAAAGAGUAUAUUGAAUCAAAUGUGGUCUCACCACAAGUCUCUCUUCUGCCAGCUGCUAGAAAAUCCAGAAGACUAACUGCCACCCAGGAAUAUGCUCAGUGUCCUCUACACUACCCUCCUUUGAGGGGGUCAGUUUAGGAAAGAGCAUUUGAUAUUGUGCCUCUAAAUAAGAAUUGGUCAGACCGGAACAGAAUAAAAAUUCCAGAGUCCCCAUCUAUACUCUUUCCAGUUCCUGAAAACCAAACAAAAACAAAAGGGAGUGUGGAGCAAGGAAAACAAGUAUUUCCAAAGUGCGUGAGCAAGAAUGGAAUCAACUCUAAAAUGGGCUACUCCUACGAUUUUGUCAUUUAAUGGGCUAUGUCAAGGACUUCAUUUUCCAGCCUCUCCUGUAGAAUGCACAAUGCAGAUGUUUUGGGGCUUGCUAACCACAAAAGCAUCAAAACUGUGUAAGCCUGAUCGACGUACAACUAGGGUCUUCUUGGACGAUAGUGAAAGAUAUGUAGUCACUAUGGCUGCUUGGUUCAGCAGGUUAUGGGCACCCUGCCAGUGAGGCCAAAAUCAUUAGCUCCCUAACUCAGUCACUUUGCUUUAUCACUCAUUCAUAUGCAGUAAAGAACCCCAAACCUAGCACCCGAUAAACAGAGCUACCAGAGGGAAAGCUGGGGGCAGAAAAAUGGGGGGAAGUAACCAUUUUAAUGCAAAUGAAUGAAAAACCUUCCUCCUGAGAAAUGAACUGAAUUCAGGAAGGACUAGAAAAGGCAAGCCUUCCCGGGAAAUCUUCCUUUCUCUGGUUCAUGAGGACAUCUAUUUCUUUCCUGUCUCAAUGUGACUCACAAGUUUCCAUUGCAGACCCACUGAUUUCCUGCGUGUGACUGAGUUAGCCACUAAAGCACUUGGAGUUUUACUAUAAAAUGAGGGCAUACCCUAGGACUUUUUAACCUGAAUUAAAUAGAAUAAAGCCUCUUUAGCCUUCAAUAGGGAAUAGAACCACGGAAAACCGUCAGUAAUUCUCUAAUCACCCACCUUAAGCCCAUCUGGCCCAGCCUUCUUACCUUUAUGAGGUCAAUUCAAACACACAACCCACUUCUUAGCUUAGCCACUUAACUACCCAAGGCCUCAGAGCUCAGCCGCCCAUCCCACCUCCAGCCCAAGUUGAUAUAAAUUUUACCCAUUUCAUUUUAUGAUGUUCACUGCAGGUCUCUGUCUCUGUCUGCCUCUUUCUCCGUACUCAUACACACGGCAGACACCGUGAAAGGAUUUUAGCCCUCUUCUCUAAAGACGUCCAAACAGUCCACUUACCCUGGAAUGCGAUGGGGUAAGUCACAGCCAGACCGAACCAAGCAGAGAGGACCAGGGCCGUCCUGAGCAUGGUGCCAGUGGGGAGUGCAGGAGGCUCUCGAAGGUGUGGAGGCAGGUGGCAGGUCUUAGGGGUGCUGGGCCCAGAGCUUCGCUGGGCUUUUAUGUAACCCUCAGCCCUAGGUCCCUGAAGGCGGCAUUCCCAGGUGGUGGUGAAAAAAAAAAAAAAAAUGCAAGCCUCGCCCACACACAAUGUGAAUGCCCCUGGAGCGAAGAAAAGGAAACGGUGGGGGAGGGAGAAGCAAGGAGGAGCUGGAGGAAAACUCUGAUAAGGUCCUUAACUGCGAAAUUAGGUCGCCUUGCCCCAUUACCAUUAGCAGUAAUUAUGUGCUUCUCAGAGAGGCAGGGGAGAAAUUCCAGUAGGUCGCGGACGACUCCCCUCCUGGCCUAAAGUUGCAAGUUUGUCAUCUAGUUUGAAGCUUUACUGAGCCCCUGAAAUGCUGCUUUGUAUCAGAGUGGUGACUAAGAAUAUUGGUCACAGCUUGCUGGCUACUUUGAUUAUAAGGCAGUCCUAUUAUAAACAAUCUUCUAACACCAGCGGGUCUCUCAAAGAGAAAUUACUACUACAAUAAUAAUAAUAACAGAAAUAGCUAAAAUUUUAAGAUUUCACAUGUGCUACUAUUUUAUUUGAUUCUCACCUGGGUCAUAUGUGGGAGGUAUUAUAAUCCCUAUUUUUCUGGUGAGGAGCCUAGAAGCUGAGAGAUUAAAUGACUCCAGAUUCACCUGCAGAUAUUCACGCUCUAGAGCUGUCAUUAACAGCAAGUACUUGGCCGUGUGGACGUGGCUCCUGCUAGUGACCCUCCCAGGCCUCUAGGGGGCACUGUUAAGCUGCCAUGCAUCGGCUGAAGCACGGACUCUAACCCUCACGGUAGAUGCAAAAUAAGCUGAGACUGCUAGAGUCAGGGACUGACUCACCUAAACCAGUCUCAGCGCUCAAUUACGACCCUUAUCGGAAAGGAGCUGUUUAUCGCUUAACGCACAAGUCCCAUCACAGGCUCAAACUCCCACGAGGCCUUUAAGUCUCAGUUUUCUUUACUUAAAUGGUCACAGCUGAUUCCUGCGCCUCAGAAACCUCAGGGUUGGCAAUACCAUUGAGAGAAAUCUCUCAGUAAUAGUAAUAAUAAGAGCUAAUAUUUAUUAAGUGCUUAACUAUGUGCCAUAGGCAUACAUUAUUUUAUCCUAAUACCAAACCUAAGGUAAUCUUAUUAUUCUCCUUUUCUAAUGAAGAAACCAUGGCACAGGGAGGUUAGGGAAAGGUCACACAGUAAGUGUGAGAGAAUCAAGAAGCAAAUCUUUGGGCACUCUGACGCUAGGGCCUUCGACCACUCUACUAUGUGUGUGCUGUGUCGUCGUCGACCCUUUGUCCAUCGGACCCGUCAUGGUCUGUCCAUCCCCCACACCCCGCUCGGCCCAGUUAUCUCCCUGAUCUCUUCAUUGCUAGCUUUGUCCUGUGAAAUGUGGCACUACACAGGCUUCACCUUAAAGGCAGGGGGAAAACACACAUAUCCAUUAGAGAACGUUUUGUUUUUCUGGAAACUAAAUUUCCUUGGCAAGUCCUGUGCAAUGAAGCGUGACCCAAACACAAUGGUCAGAAGCUUGGGAAGCAAGAAGCUCAUGAAAAACUCUAGGCAAAUAACACCAACAAACAAUAGAAUUCAAAUGAGACAAUAACCCAGUAAAUCACCUGCCAGUGGAAGCAGGGGGAAUUGUGUUUGCAUCAGCCACAAUCUGAGAAUAUUUCCUACUUCAGCAAAGUGGCAGAAUCGACUUCCAACAGUGCAGAAUAGAAUCUCUGAAUUCUCUGAGGAGAGCUGGACUUAGGAGGCAAGGUAUUAAAGGGGCAGAAGUGACCAGCUUCUUCUAGAAGCUUUGUUUUGUAGCUAACCACUUAAAAUUAUAGGCACUGCUUCAGAUGUUCUUCCAAAGGUCAUGGCACCACUUUUAUAUGCCUCAGUUUCCCCCAGAGUCAGUGAACAAGUGGCUGUCUGGUGACUUCUAUAUUGAAAUAUAUGAGCAAUUUGAUUUCCCUUGAAGUCGUGUUACUCUUUCUCACCCCCUGAGUGUUGUGAGGUAAUCGGCACAGUGGGUCCCAGGGAGGGACCAGGCCUCUGCUAAGGUGAGAUCUAAUAGAAUUGUAAGGUUAUAAUUAUAGGGACUUUUUUAUUAAACAGGGUUAUAAUUCUGUUUCAUAUUAUUAAAA